UUCCUCCGAAAAGGAGGUUUUUUUUCACAAGUCAAUCAAAAUUAAUUUUGUAAGCCUCUCGGACUUGACUGAAGACAUCCCACGAUGUCACUAAAACCGAGGUUAGGAAGGCCAAUUCUACCAAAGUGACGGAACCCCCCUCUUGGGGACCGGUUUACCUGGGAAGCAGGCGGCCCUCCUCAUGCUCACAGCCCUAUCCUGUGGGCAGGGCCCAGUGGGAGGGCCUGGGGUUCAAAGCCAGCCCACCAGGUGUUCCACCACGAAGGAUGGGGCUGGGCGUGUAACAGGCAGGCACAGGUGCUCACCGAGCCCCCCGAGUUGCAGACAAAGCAAACUACGCAAGCAUUUCUUCAAACUCCCACCAGAGCAAGGGUGCAGAGGAAGAGCGGAUGACACGCCAGUGACUGCCCUGAAGUCACAGCCCCCAGUGUCAUCACCAGCUGGCUGUGCAAGGUGUCCAAGGGACCACCACUGAGGGUCAUCCUAGGACUUCGUCAAAACCAUGUUUGUGGAUGCCAGAAGAGGUCAUGAAUUCUCAGAGGCACAGAAGGAGAAUGCUCCACAACUGUGACAUGAUGUCAUUUCUAAAUGGGAGACAGACACAGAAAACACGGAGGGAACAGAGCCACACGACCAUGGAGGGUAGGAGGCGGACGCUGUAGUGACGUAUCUACAAACCAAGGGACACCUGGAUCUCAGCCACCACCGGAAGCGGAAGAAGCAGGGAAGGAGUCUUCCCGAGGGCCGUCAGGGAGCACGGCCCUGCUGACGCUUUGACUUCAGACUUCUGGCCCCUGGAACCGUAAGAGAACAAGUUCCUCCUGUUUUAAGCCACCCGAUUUGUGGUCGUUUGUCACAGCAGGCCUGGGACACUAACUGUUGAAACCUGUCUUCAGGUGACGUGAUUUAUCCCCGUUCCCGUAUUUGGACAAAGAAAUGAAAUUGGAUGGUAUGAUCAAAACCAUCUGAAUCUUCUGCGGUGGGUGGCAUCCUUGCUUAUGAGAAUCCCCUGCAAUCGGCGGC